GGACAAAUCUUUAAACAGAUCACUAAUCGUAAAACAAGUUACGGUGUCUGGGAGUAAAAACUAAGCUAUUUGCUAUUUGUGCCGAUACUUUCAAGCUUUUCCUCCUCCCUUCCUCCUUCCCCUUCUCGCUAGCUCUUGCAUCUCGAGUUUAUAGGGUUUGUUGAAACGCUGCUUCAUGUUACUCUCCCUCUCCCCCCCUUUUUUUUAUUUUGAGUGCUCUGUAUUUAGCCACUAGAAAUCCAGCUUUGGGGUUUUACAGUUUUCGUGACGAAGGCCGACAGGACUACGCUGAAGAAGGAAAAAGCGUCGGCGAGGAGGCGAGAGGCUGCGUGUCAAGAUCGUCGGAGGACUUAAUGAUGACCAUGCUAAUAGACAACUGCCAGCAUGCUGUGUGUAAAAACAAAAAAUAUGGACCACAGCUACAGACUGAUUCCCUCAAGUGGCCAGAACAGAAAACACAGGCCAAGCUUCCAGCCACUGAGCUCUGAAUUGGAUGAACCAGGCAACGCUGCAUUCGGUGGCUCACCUGCAUUAAUAAUUUCAUGACAGUAUGGGAGAGGCCAUGAAGAACAAGGGUCUAUCAUUGAGAACUCCCCUACUUCUGCUCCCUGGACAUCUCUAUGAAGGCAGCUAUGCUGACAAGUGAGGUGUCUAUAGAUGCUUAUAGAAUUCUUUUUCAUAUGCACUAUCUCACUGGCAAAAGGAUUUGACAUCUCUCUCUAAGACAACAGAAGGCUAUCUCACUUGUGGAAGACCUUCUUUUUAAGAAAAGUCAGCCACCUAUUCAGACUCUAAAAUACAGACUGUUACUAUUGUCUACUGAAUGCAGUCAUGGGAUGGAAAGCAAACAAACCCUGAAGAUGCAGGUGUGCGAUGUGUUGAAAUCUGAUCUCUCUCACUGCCUGAGAUGAAAGCUGGCUCUGUGGUACAGAAUGGAUGCUCCUGGGGUUUUGAUGGGGAGCAAGCCAUCCCUGAGGACCUAGAGAGGCCGUUAUAUUCUGCAGCAUUGAGCAGUUCUUGGAGGAAGGGGAAAGUGGUGGACUCAAGGAUUUAAUAACAGCACUCUGAUCCUCAUCUGUCUAACCACAGCAGGAGCUGGAGCAGCAGGAGGUCUCCCCCAGCUCCUGCUACAAUAGGGAGGCUUAACACAAUCAAAAUGGCUACAUGCAACCCAUCUUUGUUUCCCACACCUUUCAUUGUUCCUACCCAGCCUACACUUGAGAUUUACCACUUCACCCCUCUGCUUCCAUGCCAGGUUCUGCAUGAAGGGGCUCCUUUGUACAGACAUAAAGAAUGGAGGUUGUGUGAAAAGAAAGCACUACCUAGGUCAUGGAGAGACCAUGUUUGCACACAUAUCAAAUAAUGCAACACCAAUGGGUUCCAAGCAAACAUCCAGCCCUAUCGCCUCUUCUUCUCUUCAUGACAGAAAUAGUAUUUUCAAUACAUGCACACCGAUGUAUGCCAGCACCCACUCUACAACUCUAGAGAUGCAAAUACAGCUCCUUUAGAUAGCACACACUGCUCUAUCUUGGCUCUGCACUUUUUUUUUUCUUAUUUUCUUUUUCUAUUUUGUUAUGUCACAUAAUAGUUCAAUGUUUAGUCCCUCAAGUUGCUGUAAACCAAAGCAUAUGAAGGGCACAGUCUGUAGUGUCCCAAAAGUGCAAAUUCUUGUGGGAAGGGACUGUGCUUGUCACACCUAGAAAGCAUCUUAAUCACCAAUGUCAUUUUGAUAAGAUAGGAAGGCAAAUAAUAAAUAGGGCAGUGAAGAUGAAAUGGAUUUUUUUUUUUAUAGUAUUAAUAUUAAUUUCACAUAACACAAUGGAAUACCCUUAGGAUGACUUCUGUGUUUCAUAAUAGGUUUAUCUCAUCUUAGCCAAAGUGUAAACAAACAAGACAAAAUAUAACAGAACUCUCAGUAUGUUGUUUACCUGAUAUGAUGGAGUGCAAUAAAAUUGGAUAUAGUGUUGUUACACUUCCCUACAACCACAACUUUGGAUGUUGUACAAGUCUUGGAAAUAGCACCGCUCUGUGGAUAAUAAAAUAAUGUGAACAAUGAA